UUUAAUGGCUUCUAAUCACGAGGAGGAAUGCACGAUGUGCUUUAAAUCCAGUGAAAAAGUGGGAAUGCAAAUGAAGCUCUGAUUAAACAAAGCAGCGCUCGAUCCAGAACUCGAUUCAGGAAAGCACUUAAAUAGAAGCUCCAGUCUUGCUAAUUUGGAGUGUUAUGUCCUGCCCUUAAAUGCACUUUUUAAAGUAUUUUUCUGCUCACGUGCAGUUUACUAAGUGAGAAAGAAAAGGAGGGCCCGCUUCCCGCCCUUUUUGCUCAGCCGUUGCUCCCUCGCCUCGCGCCGCCCCCGUCUCGUGUCGCCUGAGGGGACGCCGCUCUGCUGCCCGCCGCUGGGCACGGGUCCUGGGACAGAAGCGGAAAAAAAGACCAAAGAAAGCACGACAUCACCUUGAAAAUGUUUUCAGAAGGUGCUGCAGCAAAUCCUGAAAAGACUUGCAAGUAAUUGCAUGGCUCUUUUCGAGAUGAGAAGGGAGAGGAAAGGAACGAUGAACUCCGUAUUCAUGUGAGGUGCACUUUAGGAAAGACAGCUCCAGCUGAAAUUCAGUGAACAGAAGAGUAGGGGACUAAUGCAAGAGAAAGGGGCAGUGACUUUCAUAAAAUCGACCAGCAACUCAGUGACACAGGCUACUAAACUUAUUCCAUUUGGAAAAUUUCCGGAAGAUUGAACUUGUAGUACAGGGCUGAACUGAAAACUGGUGACAAGCAGGAUCUGAGCUACCAGGACAGCAAAGGACAGGUUGGCAUGGAUAUGAUAGCGCUGGUUGCGGAUGGUGCUCACAGACCUGGAAGAAGACAGAAAGGAACACAAGAGGAAAAACACAACAGUAAAACUGCACUUGGAUGAAGGGCUCUGAAUACAAUCAGGUCAGUAACAAAUUCUUGUUAUUUCAAAAAUGAUUAUGUGGUGAAAAAGUUAUGGUAGCUCAAGUCAUGAUCCAUUUCUGGGUUUCCCCAAUGCAAGAGAUACAUGGAGAUACUGGAGCAAGUCCCAUGAAGGCCACAAAGAUGAAGGUAUUGGAGCAUCUGGCACACCAGGGCAGGGUGAGGGAGUGGGGUUGCUCACCCUGGAGAGGAGAAGGCUCAGGUAUCUUAUCAAAGCAUAUAAACACCCAGUGGGAGGGGUAAUGCCAGACCCUCCUCGGUGUAUCUAGUGAACAGAUAAGAGGCUAUGGGAACAAGUUGAAACAGGAAAUUUCAUUUAAACGUGUGCUUUUUGUCUAAAUAUUUUUUAAUGAAAAAUUACAAGGGUCAGGUGCUGGAAUAGCUUGCAAAGAGAAAUUGUUGUGUCUCCAUCAUUGGAGAUAUUCAAAACCUUAUGGGACGCAGCACAGCCAUUGACAAGCAGACUGUCAACAGGUCUGAAAGAACAGCACCAACACUUGUUUGUAUCUAGAGCCAUUCCACCUGCUAUCUGGGAGCUAUCAAGUUAAUUUAGGUAUCUAACAAUAAUUUUUUUUCCCCUCCCCAUUUUGAUAUUUUGAGAAUAUCUUUGACACUAAUUGUUUACACUGGGUGGGUAAACAGAGCUUGAUGAAAAGCCUGUGUAAGUAAAUAGAUGUGCUGAUUUGGGAUUUAGA